rnacentral:rRNA from 1 species
CCACAACGGGUGGAGCCUGUCGGUUUAAUUGGACUCAACGCCGGGCAGCUCACCGGAUAAGACAGCUGGAUGAUAGCCGGGCUGAAGACUCUGCUUGACUAGCUGAGAGGAGGUGCAUGGCCGUCGUCAGUUCGUACUGUGAAGCAUCCUGUUAAGUCAGGCAACGAGCGAGACCCACGCCAACAGUUGCCAGCAUGUCCUCCGGGAUGAUGGGGACACUGUUGGGACCGCCUCUGCUAAAGAGGAGGAAGGAAUGGGCAACGGCAGGUCAGCAUGCCCCGAAUUAUCCGGGCUACACGCGGGCUACAAUGGUCAGGACAAUGGGUAUCGACACCGAGAGGUGGAGGCAAUCUCCUAAACCUGUCCUUAGUUCGGAUUGUGGGCUGCAACUCGCCCACAUGAAGCUGGAAUCCGUAGUAAUCGCGUUUCAAAAUAGCGCGGUGAAUAUGUCCCUGCUCCUU